AACUACAGAUGCAUGCCACCAUGCUUGGCUAAUUUUUAAAUUUUUGUAGAGAUGGACAUCUUGCUAUGUUGCCCAGGCUGGUCUUGAACUCCUGGUCUCAAGUAGUCCUCCCACCUUGUGCCUCCCAAAAUGUUGGGAUUACAGGCAAGGCAGCAAAUUUAGAAGAAAUGUAUCAACACUAUUAAUAGAGUUAGGAUUCCAAAUUAAAAAAAAAACUAAAAGAUUAUAUAUCAACAAAGCCAAUAUCUGGAAUAGUGCCUUAGAUGCAUUCAGAAAUCGAAACUUUAAUCCUUCAUAUGCAAUUGAAGUAGCAUAUGUUAUUGAAAAUGAUAAUUUUGGAAGUGAGCAUCCUGGAUCAAAGCAAGAAUUUCUGAGUCUCUUAAUGCAACAUCUUGAGAACUCAUCAUUGUUUGAAGGGUCCUUGUCAAAGAACUUGUCUCUAAAUUCUCAAGCUCUGAAAGAGAAUCUUUACUAUGAAGCUGGCAAAAUGCUUGCCAUUUCUUUAGUUCAUGGUGGUCCUUCACCUGGUUUCUUUUCUAAAACCUUGUUUAACUGCCUUGUUUAUGG
rnacentral:sRNA from 1 species